AAGACACUAGUAAAACCUGAUAUUACACUACUUUGUCAAGGUAGAAUCGUGGGUUAAAUCCCCGCGUGUCUUG
rnacentral:tRNA from 1 species